rnacentral:lncRNA from 1 species
CAAGGGCUUUAACCAUUUUAUCUGAUUCAAAGGCUAUACCAGCUCAGUAUUGAGGAGAGAGGCCAUGGCUUCCACAAGGAGUAGUAUUAGGAAACCAAGCCUUUAUGAUGUCAGAUUCUUUGUUUCAUAGAAGAGUUCUUUUCCUGGUAGCCUUCAAUCUGCCUUAAUGGCUUAUCUACUAUCUAGAUGGGUCAGAUAACCUCUGAAGUGGCAGUUAGUCAGGGCCAGAACACCUCCUGAAGAUGUGUGCUUACAGGGUGUAAUACAUGAAGAUCAAAAGACAGAAAAGAAGACAAGUCUCUAUUCCCAAAGAGAACAUUCUGCUGGGGAAUACAACAUAUACAUAAGUAAGUACAAAAAUAUGUCAAAUAAUCUUUUGUUGUUGUUUUUUAACUGAAUCCAUAAUUUUAUUGAUAUAGGACAGUGGUGGAACAAAGGAUAAAUUGGUAGACCUGAAAUCAGCAAAGACUUGAGUAUAAAUGUGACCUCAAGACACUUCCAAAUUUUGUGACAUUGGGCAAAUCAGCUUCAUUUUACUUCAGUUUCCUCAGUUGUAAAAUGAGGAUGAUCAUCUUAUCUGUCACUCAGAAUUAUUGUGAGGAUUAAAUGAGAUGAUAAUUAAAAAGUCCUUACAACAGUAGUUGGUAUAUAGUAGGUACUUAAUGAAUACUUGUUUUCCUUUCCUUCUUACUCAAUUUGCACCUGCUCUAUAACUUAUUGUCUUAGUGUUGCCCGAAGU